rnacentral:tRNA from 1 species
AGGGGUGUAGCUCAGUGAUAGAGUGCUUUCUUAGCAUGUGUGAGACCCUGGGUUAGACCCCCAGCACCACAC